CAGCCGCCGCGGUAAUGCGUAGGUGGCAAGCGUUGUCCGGAAUUAUUGGGCGUAAAGGGCUCGCAGGCGGUUUCUUAAGUCUGAUGUGAAAGCCCCCGGCUCAACCGGGGAGGGUCAUUGGAAACUGGGAGACUUGAGUGCAGAAGAGGAGAGUGGAAUUCCACGUGUAGCGGUGAAAUGCGUAGAGAUGUGGAGGAACACCAGUGGCGAAGGCGACUCUCUGGUCUGUAACUGACGCUGAGGAGCGAAAGCGUGGGGAGCGAACAGGAUUAGAUACCCGCGUAGUCCCUGUCUCUUAUAA
rnacentral:rRNA from 1 species